rnacentral:rRNA from 1 species
AACUGCGAAUGGCUCAUUAUAUAAGUUAUCGUUUAUUUGAUAGCGCCUUACUACAUGGAUAACCGUGGUAAUUCUAGAGCUAAUACAUGCUAAAAACCCCGACUUCGGAAGGGGUGUAUUUAUUAGAUUAAAAGCCAACGCCCCUCGGGGCUCCUUGGUGAUUCAUGAUAACUCCUCAGAUCGCACGGCCUUGCGCCGGCGACGGUUCAUUCAAAUUUCUUCCCUAUCAACUUUCGACGGUAGGGUCUUGGCCUACCGUGGUUGCAACGGGUGACGGAGGGUUAGGGCUCGACUCCGGAGAGGGAGCCUGAGAAACGGCUACCACAUCCAAGGAAGGCAGCAGGCGCGCAAAUUACCCAAUCCCGAUUCGGGGAGGUAGUGACAAUAAAUAUCGAUACAGGGCUCUUUUGGGUCCUGUAAUUGAAAUGAGUACAAUUUAAAUCCCUUAACGAGGAUCAACUGGAGGGCAAGUCUGGUGCCAGCAGCCGCGGUAAUUCCAGCUCCAGUAGCGUAUAUUAAAGUUGUUGCGGGUUAAAAAGCUCGUAGUCGAACCUCGGGCCUGGCUGGCCGGUCCGCCUCACCGCGUGCACUGGUUCGGCCGGGCCCUUCCCUCUGCGGAACCUCAUGCCCUUCACUGGGCGUGUUGGCGAGGCAGGACUUUUACUUUGAAAAAAUUAGAGUGCUCAAGGCAGGCCUAUGCUCGAAUACUUCAGCAUGGAAUAAUAGAAUAGGACGUUGGUCUUAUUUUGUUGGUUUCUAGGACCGCCGUAAUGAUCAAUAGGGACGGUCGGGGGCGUCAGUAUUCAAUUGUCAGAGGUGAAAUUCUUGGAUCUAUUGAAGACUAACUACUGCGAAAGCAUUCGCCAAGGACGUUUUCGCUGAUCAGGAACGAAAGUUAGGGGAUCGAAGACGAUCAGAUACCGUCGUAGUCUUAACCAUAAACUAUGCCGACUAGGGAUCGGGCGAUGUUAUUUUUUGACUCGUUCGGCACCUUUCGAGAAAUCAAAGUUCUUGGGCUCCGGGGGGAGUAUGGUCGCAAGCUCAACACGGGGAAACUCACCAGGUCCAGACAUUGGAAGGAUUGACAGAUUGAGAGCUCUUUCUUGAUUCAAUGGGUGGUGGUGCAUGGCCGUUCUUAGUUGGUGGAGUGAUUUGUCAGCUUAAUUGCGAUAACGAACGAGACCAUCGCUGCUAAAUAGCCCGCGCCGCUUUGGCGGCACGCCGGCUUCUUAGCAGGACUAUCGGCUCAAGCCGAUGGAGGUCGUUGGCAAUAACAGGUCUGUGAUGCCCUUAGAUGUUCUGGGCCGCACGCGCGUUACACUGACGGAGCCAGCGAGUUCUUCCUUAGCUGAGAAGCUUGGGUAAUCUUGUGAAACUCUGUCGUGCUGGGGAUAGGGCCUUGCAAUUGUUGCCCUUCAACGAGGAAUCCCUAGUAAGCGCAAGUCAUCAACUUGCGUUGAUUACGUCCCUGCCCUUUGUACACACCGCCCGUCGCUACUACCGAUUGAAUGGCUCAGUGAGGCUUUCGGACUGGCCCAGGGAGGCGGGCAACUGCCACCCAGGGCCGGAAAGUUAUCCAAACUCGGUCAUUUAGAGGAAGUAAAAGUCGUAACAAGGUCUCCGUUGGUGAACCAGCGGAGGGAUC